CCUGUCGCACCACGAGGCGC
rnacentral:snRNA from 1 species